AAAUUUUCGGGUAUUUGUCGCUUAAAUCGUGGCAAGUGAGCUUCAGACUGAGGUCACGACUUCACGAGCCCAUCCUAUUGUCCUUGCCUCCAAUCCCUGAAUCCAGAAAAGACAGUGGGGUUUCGGUCCAAGAUUGCCGAGGACGAUGAGCAGCUUGGUGGUGCAGCUGCGAACGGCUGCGAUCAUCAGCAGAAGGCACGGACACUAGGAAAUAUGCUUCAACAAGUGCAUCAGCUCACUAAGAUGACUGACACAUCAGCAGCUGAAGCAAGGGCAGGAAAGGAUAUACAAGGUAUACCAUGGGAGAGGUUACAAAUUACCAGGAAGGAUUACAGAAAAGCUAGGUUGGAACAGUACAAGAACUAUGAAAACUUCCCUCAA